UCAUGGAGAUUAGUGGCUGCUUUUCCAAUCCUAUUUCAAGCCUCGAGGAGGCUGCUAUUUGUCAAAAGUGUUAUUAACCUCCAAUAGGCACCAGGAUAAAUGUUCGCUGGCACAGCCUCCUUCCCUCUGGGAUCCGUGCAGGAGAGAGGCUCCCAGGGACCCAGCCUCACCUGGGACCCGGCCGCAAAGACUCAGACGGGCUCUCAUGAGGGUCAGGGCACCUUAAAGAUGCACCCACCUGAGACGGGGAUGAGGGAACCACAAUCCAUAAUUUAAGGGAAAAGCCGCGUUCCGUGGAAAUAUAAACAGAGAGUUGCUCGGCUAAGGAGGAGAGGAAAAUCACUGCCUGAGCGGGGCAGGUCACAGUUAAAUGUUCUCUGGGCACAGUGCUUCUGCUGAAGGGCGAUUUAUCAGCCCAGCUAAGGCCGGGGUGGGUGACAGUGCUGGGGGGACUCCAGCGUGCAAACAACGCUGUCGUUCCCAAUAACCCGGGAUUCGCUCCGCGAGGCUCUCCUGAACUGCUCUGCAUUGCGAGUGCAAUGCGCAUGGAAGGAUGUGGCAAAACUCCCCUAACCUGGGAGAGCCGGGGGACAGAGAGGAGCCGAGCGGCGGCAGCGCGGCGGGGACCAACUUCUGCCGUGAUUUAUGGGCCAGGCAGCCCAACUUAUCUCCUGCUGAACGGCAGCUCCGGGGGAAAGAAGCCACAUCUCUGGGUCAUGCACUCAAUUAUUUAAAAGGGAAGGAGGGGAGAGGGAAGGGAGCGGCGGUGGCAGGACAGGCAGCCCCCGGGCCCCAGGUGCGCGGUGGGAAGGCUCCUCCUGCCACCGGCCCCGCGUGAGCCACAGCGACGCGUUAGACUUUCUCCCCGGCAGAGGAAAACACACGGGGAAAGCAGGGGGAUGCUCCCAGCUGGCAGCCAGGAGCGGGGAGAAGCCGUGCCCGCAGCCCCGUCCCUCCGCGCGUACCUCCAGCCGCCGGUGCCCGCCGCGCCGCGGUGCCCGUCCAUGCCGUGCCGGAGCCCGAGGUGUCCUGGGGAAGCGCGGGCGGCUGCCGUGACUUGGGAAUACAGAAUAUGUACCGGAUCGGAUUUAAAGGGCUAGAACCCCAAUUUGGCACCGCUGCUCCCCCCGGGGCGCCGCGCUGCCGCCCGGGCCUGCCAGCGCCAGCGUCCUGCUGCCGCCCGUCGGGGGCAUCCUGGCAGCCCGCGGGGCCGGCAGCACCGGGAUUUGCGGUGGCAGCAGCAACAAUCUGGAAAUCGAGGCUCCCUCCAGCAGCUCCAGGUCCCUCUCCAGACCCAGUCGUUCUCCAGACCUCCGUGAGAACACCCGUCUGCAACAGGCUGGGCUCUCAGUGCCCCUCGGCGGGGCAGGAAUGGCUGAGACACGGUGUCAGCCUUCCAUCCAGUGUUCCCAAAAAAAAAGGAGAGAGGGGACGAAGAGCAGGGUUUCCAAGGAGCCCUCCUUGGUCCGGAUUUUGAGCUCAAAUGGAGAAAGCCAAAGAAAACAAUGAACACAUCUUUCUUAUUCUUCUUCUUUAUCUUCUUUUACCCGGUUUGACCCCAAAGUGCUACCCACCCUCCCUGGGGCCGGCUCAGAACAUCGCGCUCUGGGUGUCCGAUCAAUGCGUGCCCUGCUCUCCGGGCUGACCCGGUGUUCUGGCUUCCUCUUGCCUCAUUAAUUACACCCAGGGGUGGGUGCCAGAAGGAAAAGCUGGUUCUAAUUCCAUGCUGCAACCCAGCUCCAAGCUGCUGGGAUAAUUAGCAGGUUGUUAAUGAACGAGAAGAUUCCCACCAUGGAGGGAGGAAGGACGGGCAGGGAGGGGAACACCCCUUGGGCCUGGCUGGGAAACCCGCAUUGGAGUCGGGGACUCUGUCCCUCAAUCCAAGGCUUGGGGCUGCCCUCAGUGCCUGGGAAGAUGCUCCCAGCGCCGGGGCUGCGGCCGGAUCCGCAGAGCAAGCUCCAAGGACUGUGCUUGGCUGGAGGCCACGCCGGGAGCGGAGCGGCUCCGUGUCCCAGCCGCAGCCUGCGGACACCCAUCUGCUCUGGGGACAGGGAGGAGGUGGCUGUGGAGCCUCCUUCUCCAUCCCGGGCGGGGCUGACUCGGGGCUGUGGGGUGUUUGGAGAUCACCAUCACUGUCUGCCAGGGCUCCUGCUGGGGGCUGGAGAGAGUUACCCCGAACACUUCUCUUUGAACCUCUCGUAAAGUGUGGGAACAGCACAGUCCUCCUUCCAAAUCAACCUGAUACCAAGUGUUGGUACCAUUUCCCUGGGUUUAGGCACCAGCUGAAAAUUCCUGGGAAAGGCAUUGCAUGGCAGAGCUGGUGGGAAAUUGCUUCUCUAAAUACUGAGGGGCAGGGGUGAGAUUCCAGCAAAAGCAGGAUGUCCUCAGAGGCUCCAGCCCGAGCUGCUGCCAUCUCGUGUGUCUCUCCAAGGCAUGUGGUUGUUGUUCCUUUAAUUAUUAAUCCUUGCAUUGACGUAAUCAAAUUUGCCCAAGCUUUUAACGGAUGUCUAGAUGUAAAAAAUGAAGAAUAAA